AGAGUUUGAUCAUGGCUCAGAUUGAACGCCGGCGGAAUGCUUUACACAUGCAAGUCGAACGGCAGCACGGGAGCUUGCUCCUGGUGGCGAGUGGCGAACGGGUGAGUAACAUAUCGGAACGUACCUAGUAAUGGGGGAUAACUAGUCGAAAGAUUAGCUAAUACCGCAUACGCCCUGAGGGGGAAAGCGGGGGAUCGUAAGACCUCGCGUUAUUAGAGCGGCCGAUAUCUGAUUAGCUAGUUGGUGGGGUAAAGGCCCACCAAGGCGACGAUCAGUAGCUGGUCUGAGAGGACGACCAGCCACACUGGAACUGAGACACGGUCCAGACUCCUACGGGAGGCAGCAGUGGGGAAUUUUGGACAAUGGGCGCAAGCCUGAUCCAGCCAUUCCGCGUGAGUGAAGAAGGCCUUCGGGUUGUAAAGCUCUUUCGCAAGGGAAGAAACGAUAUAGACGAAUAAUCUAUGUUAAUGACGGUACCUUGAUAAGAAGCACCGGCUAACUACGUGCCAGCAGCCGCGGUAAUACGUAGGGUGCGAGCGUUAAUCGGAAUUACUGGGCGUAAAGCGUGCGCAGGCGGUUUUGUAAGUCAGAUGUGAAAUCCCCGGGCUCAACCUGGGAACUGCGUUUGAAACUACAAGGCUAGAGUAUAGGAGAGGGGGGUAGAAUUCCACGUGUAGCAGUGAAAUGCGUAGAGAUGUGG
rnacentral:rRNA from 1 species